rnacentral:misc_RNA from 1 species
AAUAAACAAUGAAGGUGUGUGCAUUCUUAUAUAUAAAUAAAUUUAUGUAAGAACACAAUUAAGGUCAUUUGUUUGAUUAUCUAUGAUAUAACGGAAGUUGUAUUAAAUGAACUUUCUGGAGAGAGUUACAGGAAAAAGAGUGAAGGAGAAUAGAGAAGAAAGAUUAGAAGGAAAAUGUGAGCGAAGAGAGUAAUUGGUUGUAUCGGCGGACUUAGAUUAAUGUAAGUUAAAAU